UACGUAGGUGGCAAGCGUUGUCCGGAUUUAUUGGGUUUAAAGGGUGCGUAGGCGGCUUUAUAAGUCAGUGCUGAAAUAUCCCGGCUUAACCGGGAGGGUGGCAUUGAUACUGCAGAGCUUGAGUGAAGUCGAGGUAGGCGGAAUUGACGGUGUAGCGGUGAAAUGCUUAGAUAUCGUCAAGAACACCGAUAGUGAAGACAGCUUACUAGACCUCAAAUGACGCUGAGGCACGAAAGUGUGGGGAUCAAACAGG
rnacentral:rRNA from 1 species